AACAAAUCCAACGGCUCCAAUCAAUGGAUACAAAAACAAGAUGAUAAGAAAUGUCCCCACACCCAAGUGGACCCCAACAACAUUGACCCAACAAAUGGACGGCAGCUUAGUGGGUUUGACCAACUAUGGUUGUGUUCUGCUGUGGUCUGCUCACCUCAACAUUACACAAUACUUGAGUUAACCUCCCUUCCUUCUACCUUCCACUUCACUUCUUUGCUAUAUAACCCUUUCACUUCAUCUCCUAUGUUUUCUUUCUCAUCCCAAUUUUUCAUUUUUCUUUCUUUUUUCUUUUUUAAUGGAGUCUUCAGAUUUUUAGACCAUCCUUUCACUUUUCAUCUUGUCACUGUAAGUUCUUUCUUUUUCUUUUCUUUUUUUUUAAUUUUUUUUAUUAAUAUUUUGUGGAUAUUUGUUGCUGCUUUAAGUUCUAGGUUUUUUUUUUCCUAUACAAAGCAUGCAUCUUGUAAUUUUUAUUGA